GCGCCACUAGCUCAGCAGGAUAGAGCAACCGCCUUCUAAGCGGUAGGUCAUAGGUUCGAAUCCUAUGUGGCGUA
rnacentral:tRNA from 1 species